rnacentral:misc_RNA from 1 species
AGGCCUCAAUUUUGUUCAUCUCCUGGAAAACAAACAAUUUAUAACAUAACAAGUAAAUAAUCAGUAUACGAACAAACUCCGCAUUUACCAUGUUUCAGUUGUUAUACAUAAAAUAUUUUCCAUUAUAUAUAUUUAUAUAUAUAAAGCCUCCUUGUUCUGUCAUUCAAAACUGGACUACCUCAAAGAAAUUUGGAUUCUAAAUAGCAGAGGGGGAAGAGAUAAUUCAUGGAACAAGCACCAACCAGCUCAGGCAAAGAUUUAAGUAGUUCAGCUGAGCCAGCUAAAACUGGCAUUUUAUCUAUACAAGAAAAUUAGUCUUAUUCAAUUGAAAAGCAAUUCGCUGGAAAGUUGGAAGAAAACUAUAUAUUCUUCUGAAAAAUUUUUCAGCCUCCUCCAACAUGCUAACAAAAAGUUCCGACCAAAUUUACUAUAAUACAGCAUAUAAUUAGUGGCCAUUCAUUAACUGCACUACUGUAGUGCCCACCAGUAACAGGCAUGGCAUUGUGGAGAAAAUGUAAAACAACGUCUUGGUGAAGACCACAUUUAGGUUUCCUUCUAAGACAUGCUUAACCAGGCAUCCCAGUGUUGAAGAUAAAGACUCCUCAAAUAUAUCUAGCCGAGCUGAUAAUGAGUUAUAAUGCUUUAAAUUUAAAAUACCAAAUUUAUAUUUGUCUACACUUCUGCUAUCUGAUGUGACCAGAGAAAGAAAUCACAAACGCUGCAUGUCAAAUUUCUACAAUGAAAAAAAAAGAAGAUGAACAGGAAAGAGAACACAAUUGAGACACACUGAUAAACUAAUGCAAUCGCAAAUGAAUCCAUAUUUAAUGGAAAUAGACAUUAUGAAAGGUAAUAUUCAAUUAGACAGUUGAUUCUUGAUCUACUCCAAUCAAUUUUCUUUACUUGAUCAAUCAUUGUCAUUAUAUGAUCUAAUUUGAUGUGAUAAAAAAACAGAAAAUAAAUAGAGUUUCCAACACUGUAAACGAGAAUUCACCCCCUGAUGUGUAGUUGGCACCCAAGAUUCCUUGGAACUUAUCAUGGGAUAAGAAAGUCUACAAACUUUGGUUACCAAAAUAAACAGCCUACUGGAGGGGAAAUGCAUAUACUCAAUUGGAGAUGGAAGUAGACAGUUUUGUCAUACCUCAAUCCAAGCAGCCAGAUUAG